GUCCGGGGAUGAUAGAAGUACCACUGUCGUGAAUAGUCACGUCUCUCGGGGACUGUGCAAGCGUUCCCGCAGGCUUCCUUUUCCAUGCUGCUCUCGUCGAAGCCGGGACCUAGCUCAGAUUCAGUGCUAACAAACGGACGUUCCCAUUACGCCCUGAUCGUUGUAUAUAUCCUGCCAUGCCGCCGUUGCCCAGUGGCCUUGCUUCGCUCCUCACCUGUGAGCUUCGUAAAGGCGGGGUCCACAUCUGCGCAUUCGCUUCCCCGGAAUCUACCACGAGGCUGGACACGCCGCAGGGAUGAUUGCGCCCGUAUAAAACAGGGGUGAGGAUCAAGCGGCUGCUACGGAGAGGAUGAAUGAGGCACUGGUCCUGCAGGGUUGGAGAACGGAAAGUCAAGAAACGCACAUUUGCGGGCUGCUCCCAGUCUGCCAGGCCUGGGUCUAGUCCUCCUCGAACGAUCCGGGAAGACAAGCAUCGUCCACACUUUACAGAUGAGAAACGGAGGCUCAGACGUAGGAGAUCUCUCGUCACAUUUGCCGCCACAGAGGGUUGAAGGCAGCGACCUCUCCACGUCCUUUUAUAAGGGCCCACGUGUGGCGGGGAUCACCUGGCGCGUUGCCUUCCUUCCGAUAAUGGGAACAAGAUGGCUGAUUCUGCUUCCUGUUUUUGCACGGUCUGCCGGGAAGCUCAGAUCCCAAAUCUGAGCUUAACCACACUUUCAUAUCUUUGUUUGUCCUUUCUUCCUGUGGCCUCUAUUUCUUAAAAUUUUCCUGCUUUGGUGUCCUUCCCUUCCUCUAUUUUUUAAUCAUCGAUUUGCUGACUGUUUCCUUACGAUAAAUGGUCUCAAAUCCCUUGAAAAAUCAUUCCCGUCAAGGGAAUUAAAAAAAAACAAAAACAAAAUAUGUAACUAUAAGGGCUGAGUGGCCCCGUACCUUCCUGGGUAGUGUUACUCACAUAAAAACUCAUCUCUGAGUCAUGCCCUGCCCAGCCCUGCUCAGGCCCCUGCUUGCCGGAGCCUUGGGAAUUACCCGGGGCGGCCGUCAUUUCUGUGAUUGAGAUGUUUCCGAUUAAGAUAAUUACCGCUGAGAUGCAGCUUCGCAGGAUGCCGAGGCACUUAAAGACCCAGGGAGAGUUCAAAGAAGCAAGUGCGGAAUGAACUUUAAUGCUGGCCUCAAACUCUUCAAAGACAGCAUUGCUUCAGGAGUCGGCUUAACGGCCGCUUCUUUUCAUCUGCUGGGUGAGGACACCCACACGUCUGCGGGCACUCACACCAGCACCGCGCACCCUGUGUUUUCGAGAGCGCGGUCCUUUCUAGGAACUCCGAGGGGGACUCCUGCCCCCCCUCCCCCGCCCCGGCAUCCCACCAAAAGCCGUCUCAAAUCCUCGCCACUGACAUAACGAGAAAACGCUCGGAACCAGGAGGCCCCAGUCUUGGUGCCCCGACGGAGGAACGGGGCGCCAGCCCCUCGGGACCCUGGCCUUGUGACAACUUGCCCACUACUUACUGACUUCAGCUUCAAGUCAGAGGGGAGUGGCCGCGGGCACAUCGUCGUGGGCACAGGAGACCCUCCACAGCCCGCCCCCCGGUGGGCGGAGGGUGUUUGCAUCCACUCUGCUCAUCAAAGCGUUGGCCGUAGCCAGACUUCUUAAGCGUAAAAAAAAAAAAAAAAAGCUUAUUAUCAGGAGAAAGCGGGUAAGGGACUCCUUGGGUGGCAGUGCAGACAAAUCGGGGCUUCUGAGCCAAACCACACCUGUCUUUCCGAUGACCUCAAGUUACCGCUCCCGUUUACCGAGCACCGGGCGCCAUGCCAAGCACCUUAGACCAUCUCUUACUCUGCUCACAGCACCAGCCCGAGAUGGGGACUGUUACCAUCCCCGCCUUACCAAUGAGGAAAGUCAGGCGCAGAGAGGUUAAGCGACCUGCCCAAGGUCACAGAGCUGGCGACGGCCAAGCCAGGAAGCCCACCCUGGCGGCCUGGCUCCCGAUGGGCUCCUCGCUGGGCUACGGCCAUUGCCGCGUAUUGCCUGGGCACAUAGCACUGCUCAGGAAACAUCUAACAGGCGAGACGGAAGUGUCUCUCUCUCUCCGUCGGCGGAGCUCUCGCCCAGGAGCAACGGGCAGGUACAGGUGGGCGGAUGAGCCUCAGUCCGCUCCCGUGUUGGCACACCAGUCGCUCCAGCGCCACAAACAGGGAGGCAGGAAACACGGAGGCACUGCACGCCUCCAUCGGUCACCGGGUCCUCAACGCGGGACUUUGGCCUGCUUGCACUGAAGGCACCCUUGACCCCUUCAUCUCUGUCCAGGAAGCUAUCAGGAGGGCCCGGUGUCCCAAGGCGGGGGGAGGGAGGGAGGUGUAGGAAGGAACAGGUUGAAAGCUCAGCGCUGGGACCUGGGAUGUCCCUUCCGUGAGGGAUCUUUCUCCCGGACCACUCUCUUUCUCCUCUGCGCUCGGGAAGGCUAGUGAGCAGCCUCUUCCCUCAUCUGUAAUGUGGAUGUGACUCGGCAGGCCGCCUGCCCUGGCGAGGACCACGUUCCCAGAGUCCCUUGCACCCACACGCGGGCACUGAGUUCCCACGGUGAUGUGUGUCCCCUCCGGCCUGAUGUCGUUUCUCCUCUCUCCUCUUUUCUGCCGGCUGGAGGCCAACGCCCAGGGGGACCUUGGACAUCACGAUGGCAGGGCCUCCGCCAGCCGGGGCCCCCGAGCGACUGUGUGGAGCAGAACUCUCUAGUCCACCCGGCGCACCACACAUGGGGCACACAACGCCCACCUCAGACUGUGGGCACGAGCAGGAAACAAACACGCGCUGCGUCUGAGCCGCGACCCGUGUUACCGUCUAUUCGCUGGAACCGCGAGCCUCCCCGAAACGAACGCUUCCCCACGUCCCCCAAAGCACCCAUCUCCCUUUCUUUCUCCUCCACCGCAUCACCAUUUCCCCAGUCAAGGAGGCUAGAGACCUUCUAGAUGCUUCGUCUAGAGAGACUCGUGAAUGUGCACAUCCGGGAACAUUCUGACAAUAACCCCGUUGUUCGUCACAGCAAAAAAUUUUUUUAAAAAAUGGAAAGAACCCAAGACCCCUUGACAGAAAGACAUAACCAAAUCCCAUUCACGAAACGGAAUACUACGUAGCCGUGCAAAGGAAAGGUGGCGAUAGGCAGCGGGAUAGGCCGACCGAAUCUCACCAACACGGUGUUGCAUGAAAAGGGCAAGACACGGAGUAACGGGAACGAAUGUGGUUGGAAGCAUCUAAACUCUAAAAACGGGCAGCGCUGAACAGCAGGUGGUUCCCAGAUGCCGCCACGAGUGGUGAAAUCGUAACGAGGGGCGGAGUGAUGACAAACACAACAUUCAGGGUAGCGAGAGGCCCCGGGUGUGGGAGGCGGGCGGGAAGGGUCACCCGCAGGACCGCGGAGGGGUUUGCAAUGUUCUCUUUUGCAAAGAAAACAGGGCCGCGUAGACCCGGGUCCUGUCGUAAUGAAUCCCUUAAAUCCUCCAGGAACAUUAUAAAGACUUUUUUGUAGCUGCGAUCGGCUGCGUAGUAAAUCGGUGAGUUAAUAAGCCUGGAAAGCUGGCAGUUGCCCCUGACCCGCCUUGUUGCCUCGGUUCUCACACAAACGGGGAGUUGAACGCAGUCCUGCUCUCCGGCUGACGGCGGCGACCCUUUGACCCCGUCUUCGCGCCCGCCUCAGUUCUUACCGCCAAGCCGGUUCCCCGUCUAGAACGUUCUGUUAAAAAAUCUAGACCAAACCACAUCGCACCCUGCUCAGAGGGCUCCCCCUGCUUCAGAGCCACAGCGAAGCUCGUCCCUGUGAGAGCGAUGGGGACCCGCCUUCUCUCCCAGGACAUUCCCUUGCACCAGCUCCCUCCAUUCGACACCGGGAGGCCUUUGGCCAGGUUCUAGAACACACAGAGUCAGCCCCCCAUUCGGGGCUCUGGCCCCCGCUGCGCUCUCCACUGUGGCUCCUUCCCACUCUUUCUGUCCAGUCUGAGAUACCACCUCCUGGAAGGCCUCCCUGACCACUUGUCUGAGGUAGGUCCCCUGGGGCUCCCAGCCGCACGCCCCCGUUUGUUUCCUUCGUGCCCCGAGCGUUAUUUGGGGCUGGGUUACCGCAUUGUCUGCUUGGGACAUCAGACUAUGAGCUCCGUGGAGGAGGAACCUCCAUUGCGGUCUCAGUGGUGGGGGGCGCCAUUUUCCCCCGUCCACUCUCCGGAAACUUCAACUUGUACUUUGACUCCCCAGCGUGGCCACAGUCUUUGGCCCAAAGCACAGCUCAUUUUCACUAAAAAAAGAAAAAAAAGAAAAAGAGUUUGAAUAUACACACACGAUGUGUAAUUCUAAUACAUAAAUCACGCAGGUAGUCGAAUCA